GAUGAACGCUGGCGGCGUGCUUAACACAUGCAAGUCGAACGGAAAGGCCCGGAUCUUGUGGGUUGCACGUGUGGCGAACGGGUGAGUAACACGUGAGUAACCUCCCCUUGUCUUUGGGAGAACAUCAGGAAACUGGGGCUAUUAUCGCAUAUAAUCUCCUGCUGCACGGUGUGCAAUGGUGAGUUUCGGCGUUUGUGGCUGGACUCGCUGCUUAUGCGCUUCAUUGUGGGGUAGGGGCUUACAAAGGCUUUGACGGGUAGCCGGCAUGAGAGGGUUGACGGCCACAAUGGGACUGAGGUACGGAGCAGAAUGCUACGGGCGGCAGCGGUGGGGAAUAUUGCGCAAUGGGGGGAAGCCUGAGGCAGCAACGCCGCGUGCGGGAUGACGGCCUUCGGGUUGUAAACAGAUUUCGCAGGAGCCGAAGCGGGAGUGACGGUAAUGGGUAAAGAAGCCACGGCUAACUACGUG
rnacentral:rRNA from 1 species